AUACGUAUGGUGCAAACGUUGUUCGGAAUCACUGGGCUUAAAGCGGGCGUAGGCGGUUUGGUCAGUCCGUUGUGAAAGCCCUCGGCUCAACCGAGGAAUUGCAACGGAUACUACCAAGCUAGAGUGCAGGAGGGGUGAGUGGAACUCCUGGUGGAGCGGUGAAAUGCGUAGAUAUCAGGAGGAACACCAGUGGCGAAAGCGACUCACUGGGCCAUUUCUGACGCUGAGGUGCGAAAGCUAGGGUAGCGAACGGGAUUAGAAACCCCGGUAGUCC
rnacentral:rRNA from 1 species